AGUUUCACAAGACACAACAGGGAAGUACGUGUCUGCGCAUGCGCGAGUAAUCCUGCCUUAUUUCCUCUUCUUCUUGGCUUUUUACGGCGGCUGGCAAGCCAGCGUAGGUGCAUUACCUUCUGCUCCGGAAUGUGCAACAGAGAGUUACAUUCUACUUAUUAAUCCAGUCCUUUUAAUGGAAUUAUAGAAAGCUUUGCAGUUUAUUUCAGAUUUAAAAUGUACCACCUGAACUCCAUUCUUCUUGAUUUCAAUCAUAUAACUUCUUUCUUACUUAUAUUUCUCACAUUCAAGAAUUGCAUGGGUUACUGUUUCUUAUACACUGUUCAUGUACAGGUGCUGGUCAUAUAAUUGGAUUGUCAUCAAAAGGUGAUUUAUUUCACUGAUUCCAUUCAAAAAGUGAAACUUGUAUAUUAUAUUCAUUCAUUGCACAGACUGAAAUAUUUCAAAUGUUUAUUUAUUUUAAAUUUUGAUGAUUAUAACUGACAACUAGGAAAAUCACAAAUUCAGGAUCUCAAAAAAAAAAAUAGAAUAUUACUUAAGAUCAAUACAAAUAGAAAUCUUGUGGCAAACUGAAAAGCAUGAGCAUCUACUGCACUCAAUAUUUGGUUGGGACUCCUUUUUUUACAGCAACGCGGCGUGGCAUGGAGUUGAUCAGUCUGUAGCACUGCUCAGGUGUUAUGAGAGCCCAGGUUGCUCUGAUAGUGGCCUUCAGCUCUUCUGCAUUGUUGGGUCUGGCAUAUCGCAUCUUCCUCUUCACAAUACCCCAUAGAUUUUCUAUGGGGUUAAGGUUAGGCGAGUUUGCUGGCCAAUUAAGAACAGGGAUGGUCCUUAAACCAGGUACUGGUAGCUUUGGCACUGUGUGCAGGUGCCAAGUCCUGUUGGAAAUUGAAAUUUGCAUCUCCAUAAAGUUGGUCAGCAGCAGGAAGCAUGAAGUGCUCUAAAACUUCCUGGUAUAUGGCUGUGUUGACCUUGGACCUCAGAAAACACAGUGGACCAACACCAGCAGAUGACAUGGCACCCCAAACCAUCACUGACUGUGGAGACUUUACACUGGACCUCAAGCAACGUGGAUUGUGUGCCUCUCCUCUCUGUCUUACUCAUAAAGGCAGUCACUUGUCGCCACCUGCUGACGUAACGAUGAGCAGAAGGGACGUUUGGACCUGCUGCCAGCAGACUGUAACAGACAGAUGGGUUUUCACACAAACAACAGAAAACAUCAAGAGCAGUCAGCCUGGCACACACUGA
rnacentral:lncRNA from 1 species